CCGAAGAAACGGAACAAACUUGACUCUAAAAAUUAGAAAGAUAUUGAAAUCGAAAGCCAUAUAAUAGUACUAGAGUAUUAGACAACACAAAUUAAACCAUAAGAAAAUCAAAAUGCUCAGUCUUAUUGUGGGAUUUUGCAUCUCCCCACUAUGAAAAUACAAACGAUCGUUAACAGCUUCAUAUUCAUCUUCUUUUUUAUGGUUUCUCAAUGAAAAGAUGAUGUCAAAACCACCUGUAAACAUAAAAGCACAUAUGUAAGUGAAUAAUAAAAACAAGAAAUUACAGAAAACAAUGAAAAAUAAAACAGAAAACAUGCAUAUAAAAGAUGAAUUAAUGAAAAAAAAAUGAAUCAAAAGACAUGCAAAUAGAAGAUGUUUCUAUUGAUUUGGAAUAGAUUAAAAAUUUCCAGAAAAACCGAAGAAGAAGAAAGAAAACUAACGAACAUGUGAUUGAUUUUGAUUCUUCUAAUUCUCAGAUAAAGCAUGAGACAGAGAGACAAAGAGAUUUAUGGUUCCAUUUUAUUAUUAUAAGAUUGAAUCAAAAAGCUUUGUUCUUUUGGGAUUAGGGUUAGUCGCCGAAAGGAAAACGAGAAUAGGAGAGAGAG
rnacentral:lncRNA from 1 species